UGUUCUGUGGCUUAGUUGGUUAAAGCGCCAGACUAGCGAUAAAGGAGUCGUGGGUUCAAAUCCCACCAAAACAA
rnacentral:tRNA from 1 species